UACCCCGAGGAAAAGAAAUCAACCGAGAUUCCCCCAGUAGCGGCGAGCGAACGGGGAGGAGCCCAGAGCCUGAAUCAGUGUGUGUGUUAGUGGAAGCGUCUGGAAAGGCGCGCGAUACAGGGUGACAGCCCCGUACACAAAAAUGCACAUGCUGUGAGCUCGAUGAGUAGGGCGGGACACGUGGUAUCCUGUCUGAAUAUGGGGGGACCAUCCUCCAAGGCUAAAUACUCCUGACUGACCGAUAGUGAACCAGUACCGUGAGGGAAAGGCGAAAAGAACCCCGGCGAGGGGAGUGAAAAAGAACCUGAAACCGU
rnacentral:rRNA from 1 species